rnacentral:rRNA from 1 species
AGCAGUCGCCGCGGUAAUACGGAGGAUGCAAGCGUUAUCCGGAAUGAUUGGGCGUAAAGCGUCUGUAGGUGGCUUUUCAAGUCCGCCGUCAAAUCCCAGGGCUCAACCCUGGACAGGCGGUGGAAACUACCAAGCUGGAGUACGGUAGGGGCAGAGGGAAUUCCCGGUGGAGCGGUGAAAUGCGUUGAGAUCGGAAAGAACACCAACGACGAAAGCACUCUGCUGGGCCGACACUGACACUGAGAGACGAAAGCUAGGGGAGCAAAUGGGAUUAGAUACCCGGGUAGUCCCUGUCUCUUAUAC